UUUAGCAAGACUAUGUUCAGAUAGAUAGAUACAUACAUACAAACAUACGUACAUAUAUACAUACAUACAUACAUAUACACAUGGGGCUGGGCUGGGAGUAUAGCUCAGUGAUAGUGUCCCCCUGGAUUCAGUCUCUAGUACUUAGAAAAGAGAAAUAAAAGAAAGCAAUGAAACAAAGGAUCCCUGCCUUAGAUAAGGUUAGGAUGUGCUUAUCUCUUGAUGCUUAUCUUGGAAAUAAACACUCUGCCAGGGAGGGGUAAUCAUCAGACUGUGCUUCAGAGAAUGCUGAGGAUGGUGAGUAAGACCUUGGGACCCACUACAGCCCCAAGGAAUAGCCGGGAUCGGGAGGUCUUGAGUUCUACCACACAUCCAAAGUCCACCCCCAAAAGCAUACCAUCAAAGGACAACCAGUGAGCUCCUUAUACAAAAGCAGCUUCAACUAUAGAGUCCCAUGGCCACCCUUCCAAUAGGAUUACCCCUGGGAAUCCCCUAGGUAAACAGAGUCAGGGUCCCCAAGUCACCUCCCACCAGGGUCUGCCCAGCACACCUGCUCUACACAGAGGGCUUAGGGAUAAUAUUUUCUUCCAACAAAGAAUCCUAACGGCAAGAGAAAUUUGCCUACAGUCAAAUGGCUUCACAUCAGAGGACCUGGAUUCCAGCCUGGACUCUGCCCUUGGCCAUGAGACAACCAGCUGAGCCUUGGACAGCCUACAGUGCUCUGUAAAAUGAAAUGGCUCAUCUACAAACUAUUUCCACUAAACAGCUCUUCCAAGCCUAGAAUGCUAGGAUCUAUGUCACCAAAUGUUUCAAAUGAAGACAAUGACAAUUUUCUCUUUAUAGCAACCAAUACGCCCCAGGGACCUUCUCUGUUCAUAACUUUCCAACGGGCUUAUAUUUAGUUCAGAGAAGUCCAAAUAUAACACAAACAAGGAGACAACGUCCAGUGAGGGUUUUUUUUAAAUUAAAAUUAUUCCAUACAAUGUUACUUCUCAUAAUUCUUUAUUCUGAAAUUUCUUUUUCCAGUGCUGGGCAUGGAACUCAGAGCCUUGCACAUGCUAGGCAAGCACUCUACCACUGAGCUACACCCCUAGCCCUGAAAUUAAUGUUUAAAUACAAAUACACACACACACAAGCACACAACCUACCAACAUCCUGACCUAGACUGUAGCUCAGUUUUAUUUUCCUUAUCUCUUGAGCUAUUUUUUCCUGGAAACAUUUCAGGAACGUUUCAAGUGUUAAAACAAGGCUAGAGAAAUCAUAGAAGCCAGAACUAUCUAGAACAAUUCAGAGGCCUCUGAUUUUUUUGGUUAGUUGAUAGGGCUCACUUUAUCUGUUUUCAAGAACGGAUUCUCCUUUUCCUGUAUUAAAUACUAGUGAUGGAAAAGAGCAAGCAAGGAAAGGCAAAUAAUGAGGUAGAACAAGGCUCUCCUUUCAGCUUGGCUAUUAACUAGUUGUGUAGCCUGAAGCACAUUAACCCUCCUGAGCCUCAGUACACACAUCUUUUAAAUGUGGAUAAUAACACACCAGUUACCUACUCCCCACCGCAGGAGAGAGUGAAAUGGAAAAAUGGUUGCAGGCCAGGGACAAAGAACAGACACUGACACAGGCAUUUGCUUCAUUUGCAAAAACUCAGAGAGUGUUACUAAUUGAUUAAACAGGAACAAGUUCCAGAAGUUCCACGCAGGCUCAAUCAGGUCCAAUGUGAAUCAAGGAGUGAAGCAAAAUUUAAGCACCCAAAAGUCUAUCUAAAUUGGUGGAAGACUGAUGUCGCUCCCGGUUUUCAGUGUUCAGUCCCAACGUUGCCCCCAAAUUCCCGACUCUACCCACCAAUGCAGUCCCAGGAAGGGACAGAGGAGCAGUUACCCAGCCCCAUCUGAACCACCCGAGAUCCAAGAUCCGCCGCCCACUGAUGGGAAGAACGCCAGCCUUUCUGCAAACACUCCAGUUCACCAGUUCCGCUCAUCUGCCUUCCUCUUUCUCCACAAAGUUGUGUGCUGCUUCUCCAUUUACAAGGUUGGAUGCACCCCAAACUCUGCUACCCACAUGGCUUGCAUCCUUCCAGACCCCGCUCAGAUGCUACUACCUCCUCAGAUCCCAACCAACUCCAAAGCUCGACUGGCCUUGCCGCGCCAGUGUCCCCGUGAAACGUUUGGUAAACUCUGGGCUACUUCGAUCUCACUCUGCAUUGUCCUAGCGUCUUGCAUUCAGGCUUCAGGCUCGUUCCAGAUGACAAACGAAGAUAGCCCCUUGUGAGCCCAGCCUCGGUCCAGUCUAAACAAAACCACCCGGCCCUUUUCACAAAGUAGUGGCUCAAUAACAUUAUCUGAUAGAUUUAAUGUACUGUGUUUAAAUAGAAAUACGGUCUGGGUC